AACGAACGCUGGCGGCAUGCCUAACACAUGCAAGUCGAACGCCUGUAGCAAUACAGGAGUGGCAGACGGUUGCAUACCACGUGGGAACCUACCCUAGGGUUCGGAAUAACCGCGGGAAACUGCGACUAAUACCGGAUACGUCGUUCGGGAGAAGGAUUCAUCGCCCUUGGAGGGGCCUGCGUCGGAUUAGCUAGUUGGUGAGGUAACGGCUCACCAAGGCGACGAUCCGUAGCUGAUCUGAGAGGAUGAUCAGCCACACUGGAACUGAGACACGGUCCAGACUCCUACGGGAGGCAGCAGUGGGGAAUAUUGGACAAUGGGGGCAACCCUGAUCCAGCAAUGCCGCGUGGGUGAUGAAGGCCUUCGGGUUGUAAAGCCCUUUUGGCAGGGACGAUGAUGACGGUACCUGCAGAAUAAGCCCCGGCUAACCUCGUGCCAGCCGCCGCCGUAA
rnacentral:rRNA from 1 species